rnacentral:rRNA from 1 species
UACGUAGGGUGCAAGCGUUAAUCGGAAUUACUGGGCGUAAAGCGUGCGCAGGCGGUUGUGCAAGACAGAUGUGAAAUCCCCGGGCUCAACCUGGGAAUUGCAUUUGUGACUGCACGGCUAGAGUGUGUCAGAGGGGGGUAGAAUUCCACGUGUAGCAGUGAAAUGCGUAGAGAUGUGGAGGAAUACCGAUGGCGAAGGCAGCCCCCUGGGAUAACACUGACGCUCAUGAACGAAAGCCAGGGGAGCAAACGGG